AGGUUGCAGUGAGCCAAGAUCAAGCCAUUGUACUCCAGCCUGGCGACAGAGCAAGACUGAUCAAAAAGGAAAAGAAAAAAAAAAAGGCUAAUCAGAAACUCAAAACAAUGUCUCCCUGAAGCUCAUUUGCAACUUGGAUGCACCUCAGGCCCAUCAGAGCGCCUCCUCCCCUGGCAGCAGCUGAGCCAGGAACUUCAGAGACCCCUGGACACCACAUUCCGGUACCGGAGAGCCGGGAGAAGCAGGAGGGGUGACAAGAGCCCAUGUGCUGGGCACUACCCGCCUUGCCCUGCAGGGCCUGAGGCUGUGGAGCUAAAGCAGUUGGGUUCUGAGGUCAGAUCAGCCCCAGGCCACCCCCAGAUAGGCCUGUGAGCCUCUGUCCUCCCUGGUGGCCCUGAGCCUGUGUGCACGGCUGGGGUGGGAGUGGCCGGAGGAGGGGUGGAGAGAGGCCAGAGGGGACCACGGUUGAAGGGAGCAGCUGCCUAGUGUUGGGAGACCGCAGGAGGGGUGUGGCUGAGCCUCGCUCCGAUGCCCGCCUGCUGUCCACACUCACGCCUGGACACUGCCCACCUGCAGCCGCUGCACCAGGCCCACCCCCCAGCAGGCCCGUGGUGUUCACUGUAGUCCUGGCCCACUACCCUGCCCUGGGAGAUGGCCCCUGCGCCCACCCCUCCCCUGCCUCUCCAGCAGCGGCUCUCCCAGCCCCCACCCACCUCUGUGCCUUGGCACUCACACUGAAAGGGCCUCUUCUGUGGGCAUGCCGUGCCUUCCAGAACCCCGGGCUGGCCUGCUUUGCCCAUUCCCGAAAUCCAAUCCUGGCUCUCGCUCCUGCCCAUGCCUCUACCCCAAGCUCAUGUCCACCCAGCGGCCCCCGCACAGCCACCCAUGGGGUGCUGCCCUUAUGGGUCCUGGAGGCUGUGUCCACCCCACCCCUCGAUGCUGGGGGUCCAGGUGCCCAGGGCUCCCUGUCCCUUGCUCCCUCCCAGCCUCCACUCCUUUGCCUAAACCCAAGUCUUCCGGGUCAACCUGGCCAGCCGGUGGCGCUAUUGACACCGUCUUGGUGAGGCUGUGAAGGCAUCUUUGGCGGGGCGAAUGCCUACAAUCCGCUGACUUCAAGCAAAUACUAUUCUCCACGAGGGGCCUCUCCUCCUCAGCUGAAGCCAACUUCCCAGUGUCUGUACCUCCUACACGUUUCUCACCGGUGGUGUUUCUUGGCCAGAGCCUCGGUACCCCCCCCCCUCCCGUCCCAGCGCUUUCCCGGGAAGCCCGGGGCUGCCACGCGGGCUCCUUCCUCACUCCCUGGCCCAGCCCCGGCUCUGGGACAUGGCCUAGGGGUGUGUGGGAACUGGGGACCAGAGGACAGAGGGCAUCCCCUUCACGGCCCCCUGACUGGGUGGGGUGGAGCUGGAGAGCUUGCAGCUGCCAGGUCAGGGAGGAGGGAAAAAAGGACGGCGGUAGAGAUCACAUGCGGUUUAAUUGUGGGAGGCUGAGAGCAGCAUUUUUACCAAAUUGGUGUAAAAAUGAAACGGGGUCCAAACGUGUACACUGACAGUUACAGUAAAUUUCAAA